CAGGCAGAGGCAGCAAGGAGUGGUGCAGAGGAUGUAUAUUUGGGGGUCCUGAAUGUAUCCAGACAAACAUAAGACCUCCAAAAGUGGGCCCCAGAAGACACAGCAACGGAUGUAAUAUUGUAAGUAUUUAUAGCUUAACUCUGAUGAAGAGAAAACGGAAGAUCAUUUGCUGGUAAAUCGCCAUGCGGAGAUGUAGAAUGUGAAUUCCACUAGUGGAAGCAAUAUUGCAGAUGUCCUGAUUUAUCAAGACGAACUUAUUGAAAGCUGUCAGCAAAGCUGUCCUAAAUCCAAUAACAAAUCGCCUCAGAAGUACAAGCUAAGGAAUACAAGCUAAGGCCUCUAAAAGCUGAAAGAGGCAAAGAAAGACUCUUCUUCCAGGUAAUUCUAAUGUUGAGAAUGUGUGAAUCUGAAGUAUCAAUAGGAAAUCCACCUUCUGUCUGGCCCCAAUGAAGGUGGGUAGGACCUGGACUGAGGAUACGGG